rnacentral:rRNA from 1 species
CUACGGGUGGCUCCAGUCGAGAAUCUUCCGCAAUGGGCGCAAGCCUGACGGAGCAAUGCCGCGUGUAGGAUGAAGGCCUUUGGGUCGUAAACUACUGUCACAGGGGAUGAAUAAAUGACAGUACCCUGAGAGGAAGCCACGGCUAACUACGUGCCAGCAGCCGCGGUAAUACGUAGGUGGCGAGCGUUGUUCGGAUUUAUUGGGCGUAAAGGGUUCGUAGGGGGUUAUCUAAGUUUGAUGUGAAAUCCCGUGGCUUAACCACGGAACUGCAUUGAAAACUGGACAACUAGAGUAUCGGAGAGGAAAGCGGAAUUUCUGGAGUAGCGGUGGAAUGCGUAGAUAUCAGAAAGAACAUCGACAGCGAAGGCAGCUUUCUGGACGGUUACUGACCCUGAGGGACGAAAGCAUGGGUAGCGAACAGGAUUAGAUACCCGAGUAGUC